ACAGGCUUAACACAUGCAAGUCGAGGGGCAGCAUGGUCUUAGCUUGCUAAGGCCGAUGGCGACCGGCGCACGGGUGAGUAACACGUAUCCAACCUGCCGUCUACUCUUGGACAGCCUUCUGAAAGGAAGAUUAAUACAAGAUGGCAUCAUGAGUCCGCAUGUUCACAUGAUUAAAGGUAUUCCGGUAGACGAUGGGGAUGCGUUCCAUUAGAUAGUAGGCGGGGUAACGGCCCACCUAGUCUUCGAUGGAUAGGGGUUCUGAGAGGAAGGUCCCCCACAUUGGAACUGAGACACGGUCCAAACUCCUACGGGAGGCAGCAGUGAGGAAUAUUGGUCAAUGGGCGAGAGCCUGAACCAGCCA
rnacentral:rRNA from 1 species